ACAUUCUUUCACUGCAUGUUUUUGAGAUGUUGGUAGCAUCUCAUAUGAAAUAGAAAAUUUACUGUCCACUAAAUAACAUAUAGCCACAUUGACAAAAGCCAACAGGUGGUGGUAUUAUGUAGGCAAAAUAAACUUUGGUAUAUAGUUAUACUGACAUAUAGUGUGCUCUCAGGUCUUGCAAGUACACUUUACUUCAAGUCUCCAAGGAAUCACAGGAUCACAGAAUCACCAAGGUUGGGAAGGACCUCUAAGAUCAUCCAGUCCAACCGUCCACCUGUCACCAAUAUUUCCCACUAAACCAUGUUCCUCAAUAAUUAGUUCAUAAUAGGGAUGACGCUUGUGAUAUUAUAUAUAGACAUUUAUUACAUAUAGACAUGUAUUAUAUUAUACACAUAUGUGCAUAUAAAUUCACAUUAUAAUAAUACGUAUCAUAAUUUUAUAAUAUUAUAAAUGCAUUAUAAUAAUAUAUAAUGACAAACAUUUUCACUUUCUUCUUCAAGUUGCAUCUUACACCUUGUGCUUACCUUAAUAAACAAAAUUUUUAAAAGCUUUGUAUUUCUCAGGACUCCAGCGUAACUUCCCUGGACGAUACACCAAGAGAUCUACUCUUAAAAGAGCUUCUCCUCAUAGGAAAAGAAAUUAAAUUUUAUGAUUUUAUUGGUGGACAAUCUCCACAUUUAAAAACAUCCCGAAUAAUUCUUAUACAAUAUGCAUCUUUACUAUUUAAUCCUUCUGUAAAGUUCAUCAUUAUUUUUUAUUUCGAAAGUAUUCUUGAUGAGCUUAAUAUAUUGUUUUUUGUGUUUAUCUCAGAAUUUUUAUAUAUUAAUAUUUGAAUACAAAUGUUUCCUUUUAAUAUUUAGAUUUACCACAUACCAAUAUGCAUAUAUUUUUUCUGGCAGAAUUCAGUACUUUGCCUUUCUAGAUGUGCUGCCUGAUCUUAAGGGACUUCUGUACUUUAAUAUUUAAGCCUCGCUUUAAAAGUUUUAUGUUAGGAUAUCCUAUUUUUAGCAGAAAAUAGCCAAUAAUAUGUCUCAUGUUCUUCAUGAAGGAUAUAAUAUCUAUUAGUGUAAUGAAGUAAUACCUUGGAGUAAGAUUACCUCCUUUUCAUCGGUGAAUCUGACAUCUCGGCAAAGUCUUUGUGAACACAAGUGGGGAAGCAGUAUGUGGCUACCAACACAAUGCAAUGGAUUACAAAGAAUUUGUGAAGCAGACCUCUAUCUGACUGAUGAUUGUUUGAGGGCAGAAAGAAGGUCGGCAUUAGGACACAACAGAGGCAUAUGGUCUGAUUUUGGGGUGUUUCUGUAUGGAGGCAGAAGUUGGGUUCAAUGAUCCCUUACAUUCUAUGAUUUUAUGAUUCUGAAACUGAUGAGAACUUCUCUUUUGGGCAGUAUGGUACAGCUGGCUCCCAGGUCAGCUGACUGGUUCCUUCUCCAGGAACCAGGAUAGCACAAGGAGGAAGGAUAGAAAGCAGAUAUGUGCUAUCACAGAAUUCUUGCCCCCAGAUUAUUUAUUUAGACGCAGGCAAGGAGACUCAAACAGGUCACUCUGCAAGAAAAUUAGCUACCUGUGACAAAUUGGGAUAGUCCUUUAGAGAAGAAUGAGGUACAGGAAACCCCCUGAGCAGUGGGAUGUAGGCAGAAAGGCAUUAACAGAAUGCCAUAUUACAACUAUGAGUGUCAUUAGUGCUAUGGAUUACAAAAAACACUUGCGUAAUGAACCUACAGCACAGCAUCAAAUUUUCUGAUGAAAAAUGGUGCAUGAUGUGACAAACAUUAUUCUUCCACUGAUCAUAGGCAGUAAGAGAAGUUCCAAACUUUGGUCUAGGCAAUAUUUUCCAUUUCCUUAAAAUUAUAUUCCAAACAUUUUUUCCUUAGGGAGAUUCAUGCCUUCAUUCUCAUUUGAGAAUAGCAUUCACUUAAUGCAAAAUAACUAAUGUUAAUAGUGUUUUUUUGGUUGUUUUUUUUUUUGGCACAUUAGAUGAUGUAAUAUUUGCAUCAAAAUACAUCAGCACUCUCUUUCAUGUCACUCAGCAGCACUAAAUGCUGACUCUUCAGGAAGGGCAGCUAAGGAACCACGAAAUGAGUGACUAAGGCCUUCAACAGCAGUAGCAAAAGCUACAUAUUACGCAAGAAAAAAAAUCACAUCUUCCUUCAUGGCAGUGGCUACCUGGAAAGUACCAACUCUCUGGUCAUGACCACCCAGAUAGAGACAGCAGCUAGGGAAGCUCUGCCAGGCAUGCAAGGCCUUCUAAUAGAAGACAGAUAUAAAAAUAAUGAAACGACUCCCGUUUUAGUUUUUUUUUAUAUGUGGAUUAAUUUUCCCUGAAACACAAUAAUACUUAAUCUACAUAGGUUACAAGGAACCUAGCUUUCUCCUUUACAAACAGCAAAUCAUUUAUACUAGGUUUUUAUUUCAAGCACACACUAAAAUUAUUAUUCUUCACAAAAGAGGAAAGGGAGUGUCUGCCAAUCAACAUGACAUGCUAUUGAAAGACUGGCACUAAUAGCUAUGACAAGAGCAAACCUGUUUGAAGCAGAGCUGCUGCUGCUUUUCUUUUUCUUUCUUUUUUUUUUUAAGUAUAUCAGCUAUCAAAGAUAAUGUUUUAUCUGACUAGCAACCCAAGCAGUAUUCCUACAGCUUCUACCUGAUUUGCUUAUAUCUAGCAAAGGCAGAUUUUUAAUAUUGAUUUAAAUUACAGCAUUUAAAGUAUGUUUUAUUUAAAUUGUGAUAAAGACUAAGAGCAUAACUAUAUCAAGAAAAAGUUUAAGGCGCUUUCAAAUAAAAUUGUUUAUCCGUUCUUUGGAGACUUUACUUAAUGUUUGAAAUAUAUGUCUGCACAAGUACUUAACUGAUUUGUACUUCCAUUAUUUAACCGAUAAAUAGUAUUCACUGAAUUUAUAUUUCUGUGGCAUGAUGAGUUCAGAGGAUGUGAGAGUAAACAGAGACUUUUAUUAUUUCGUUUUUCCUAAUUUGUUUCCAACUUUAUAUUUUCUACUAAACAGUCAGAGGUUGUAAAAGGAUAAAGAAAAAAAUAAAUUAAGAACAGAAAAGCUCUAGAAUACUGGUAUAAUUGCUAUAUUAUCAGUUUAGGUGUGUCCAGUUCACAUUCUGAAUAAGACUGCGGUUUCCACUUGGUAAUACAGUUAUACCUUGAUAAAAUCACAUAAUAGAUCACACCAUAACUUUUAGCAAUCAAUUUUUCCUCUUAAUAAUUUGAUAAAUGUAGCUGUCAAGUGGGAUAAAGAUCACAAUUUUAUUUGGGAUUAACUAUUUGAACUUUCAGAAUUCCAUUCAUGAAUAUUGCAACUGUUACAACUGAUAGCAUCACAAUUUGGUCCCUUGUUGAUGAUGUAAUCAGGUUGUAGCUUGCUAGUAUGGCUUGCUUUCUCAAAAGAUUUCAGGAGCCAAUAACACAGCAAGAAAACUGCCAAACAGAAGAGCAGAAUUUCCUAGGAAUUCUUCUAACACCUCUUAAAGAUGCCCAACCCCAGAGACACCUAUAAUUUUCACGGCGGCACAGGCACGGAGUUCUGCUUCCAAGCAGGCCCCAGAACAGGGCUGCACAGCAAGGGGAUGUGGCUCACGCUUUUCCUUCUGCCAGGAUUCAUAGGAGUAAGCAGUCCUCCACCCCUGCGUGCUCCCAGGGUGGCAGACACGCUCACAGCAUGCUGGAUAAUUUGAGUGCUUCACAAGCACAGGAUUGCUUUCAAGGAAAGAAUGGACGUACCAAAGAAUACAAUAAAUUGAUCUGCCUUCCUAGAUUUUUUUUUAAUUCACAAGAAAUACUUCAUGACUGCUAAUUCUAAAUUAGUAGAACGCAUCUGAAUUUUCUGUUCAAUGUCUUAAGCAGUUCCAUAAUCACAUAACUGACUACAGUGAAAUCAUUUUUAAGCAAAGGUUUUUUGCCUUGAACUAUAUCAGCACCACAUCCAAUUUGCACAAGAGGAAACUCAGAGAGCAAGUCCAUUGUAUGAAUAAUGCAGAAAAAAACGGGUUAUUCUGGCUUCCCAGACCAGCACUCAUUCUCAAAGAUCAUCCUCACUUUUAAUAUGAACUACUUCUGCAGCACAGAAAUAAUGAUACAGAAAAAAAACAAUAUCAUUGUGCAACUUUCAAUGUGAUCAAAACAAUAAUUAGCAAACUGCUCCUCUUCUCUCUGAAAAGCUUUUUGCCUUGCGGCCAGUUUAGUAUCCACACAAGACUACUAUGCACACAGUGAGAUGCCACGGUCUCUGCAGCUAGUGGAAUAAUGGAGAUGUCAAUCCAUAGAUAUUAUUCUCUUUGGAUAUAAAUAAUGCAUCAUAAUAGUAUCAUAAUGCUUAGAAGACAAGAGCUCCUAAAUGGUGAACAUUUACUUCAAACUAAAAUUAUCACAAGCAGUGCUGUUUGAAAGCAGACAAAGCAUUGAGAAAAAAAGCUGGAGAACCAAUCCCUUUAUCUUCUACCAUAGCUACUGGUCAUUCUCUUGUUCUACUUGUCAAUGCAUUCAGGUUCAGUUAAACUCACUGUUGAAAUGUAGCAUCAAUUGGGAGAAAAAGAAAAAAUCCAAGAAAUUUGUAAAUGUAAUGCAUAUCCAAACAUUUCUUCAGCUUACUCUGUACUAGUCUUAUUAUAAGGACAAGUCCAAGGUGAGUGGCUCAGAAAAAAAAAUUUGUCACCAAAUAAUCUCACUUCAGAAAAAACAUCAAACUCAUGGUCUUCAAUAUGAUAUGAAAAUCCACUUAUUAUAUUAGAAUCACAUUCAUGGGGAAAAAUCUUCAGAUUUGUGCAUGUAUAACAAGAAUAAUAUGAAUAGUUUCCAUUACAACCAAAUCAGCAUAACUAAAACAUUGUCUGCAGGACUCCUUAGCUUGCUAAUUAUUCCAUUUUAGUUCU